CCUACGGGAGGCAGCAGUGGGGAAUAUUGCACAAUGGGGGAAACCCUGAUGCAGCGACGCCGCGUGAGUGAAGAAGGAAUUCGUUAUGUAAAGCUCUGUCAGCAGGGAAGAAAAUGACGGUACCUGAGUAAGAAGCCCCGGCUAACUACGUGCCAGCAGCCGCGGGAAUACGUAGGGGGCAAGCGUUCUCCGGAUUUACUGGGUGUAAAGGGAGCGUAGACGGUCGUGCAAGUCUGGAGUGAAAGGCGGGGGCUCAACCCCCGGACUGCAUUGGAAACUGUACAGCUGGAGUGCAGGAGAGGUAAGUGGAAUUCCUAGUGUAGCGGUGAAAUGCGUAGAUAUUAGGAGGAACACCAGUGGCGAAGGCGACUUACUGGACUGUAACUGACGUUGAGGCUCGAAAGCGUGGGGAGCAAACAGGAUUAGAUACCCGUGUAGUC
rnacentral:rRNA from 1 species